rnacentral:misc_RNA from 1 species
CUCUCUCUCUCUCUCUCUUCUCUCUCUCUAGUCUCUACUACUGAAGUAAUGUCAAUUUUAUCUGUUACAUGUCAUGUGUUGCUCUUUCUGAGCUUUAUUGUUGAAGGCUCAGUUCAUGAGUACAGAGGAGAAAGAUUUGUGGCUAAAGGUAAUGCCUUUGUUGUUCAUGGAGGCAGUGAAGGGAUUUACUCUUCUAAACCUGGAAAUUU